AGCAGUGAUCAAUGUGCAGUUCAUUGACGGUUUGGUAGAGGCGGAGGAGAGAUGUCCACUGCUCAUCCCACAUCAAAAUUUGAAAGCCCCUUGACAUCCUCUUUCCAGAAUCCCUUCUGUGCUAUAUUGCCAGGAAAGCCAUUCUUUCUUCCUCCCCCUCUCCCUCAGAGUACCACCUUUCUACGGCCCCACUCUUACUACUCCAGUCUUUGUCCUGGGAUUCCAAUACCUCUCCCUUCAAGUUUCUUUCCCUUGAAAUUAUUCAGGAAGAUUUAAGUAUACCUUAUCUUCUGCCUCCAGAUUUGUUUACCAAACCCAUCCCAUCAAGGUACUCAGAAAACAAAAGGAGGCUGCAAUCACCAGGAACCAUCCUAAUUAUGUUUGUAGGGUGAAGUACAAGCUGCCUCCUAAAGCAGAGACCCUAAAGAGAAGUAAUGUCUGUGGAGAAGUACAGGUGGUCCAAAGGCCGACUCAACAGGGAAGCCUCUUGGUGUUUGUCAGUGCACAGACUGAAGAGGAGGAAGCAGUGCGUGAGAGGUCUUCCCAACCUUUCCCACCGGAGUAAUGCAGCCACGUGCUCUCCUUUCGGAGAGUGGCGUUAGUGGUACAAGUGGCGAUGUGAUCACCACAGCAAGUAGUCACAAAAGCAAGCAGAUCCCACCUCUGCAACCUACCUUCUGGUUGCCCUGUCAUGACCCACAUGGGGCUGUACUGAGGCCACGACACCGGCAGACUGGGGCCUGCCACAGAGGGACAGUCUGGUGAAUUCUACCAUGCUGUGCACUUUUCGUUGCUUUGGCCUCGUGCAUUCUCGUUUCUUAUGGAGAAGCCAGAUGGACCUAAUUUCUCUGCGCGAGAGUGAACUCCCCAGUAACUGAAUAGGCUAACCUCACACUGGAUCAGCCUGGACCGUGUAUCCAUCACUAAACAAAUCACUGCGGCAGGGAGACUGAGAUGGACCGCUUGGCUAAGGCAGGAUUUAGAUCUGCCAUUCUGCUAUUUGUUUUCUUUCAUAUAUCUAUGUCUUUUUUUGUUUCUCUAUGUCUCCAGUACUGCCUUCUUUUGUUUUAAAUAAAUAUUUUCU